rnacentral:rRNA from 1 species
CUCGCCUGCAUGAAGUCGGAAUUGCUAGUAAUCGCAGAUCAGCAUGCUGCGGUGAAUACGUUCCCGGGCCUUGUACACACCGCCCGUCACACCAUGGGAGUCGGUAACACCCAAAGUUGGUAGCCUAACCGCAAGGAGGGCGCCGCCUAAGGUGGGAUUGAUGACUGGGGUGAAGUCGUAACAAGGUAUC